UACAACACGCUCGUUGUGCUUAUGAGCUUUUCGAAAAGGAAGGAAACCGACCCAUCAUGAUAGAUGAACUCGCUUCGGAACUUGGUCUUGGUCCUUCUGUACCGGUUCAUGCAGUUCUUCAUGAUUGGCUUAGGCAUACCGAUGGAAAGCUUAGUUUUCUUGGGUUUGUGAAGUUGUUACAUGGUGUGUCUAGCCGCACUAUCAAAGUUCAUUAGAAGGGUUUAGACAGGUCUGAAUAUGUGUGAGAUCUCUUCUCUCCCAAGAGCUUUGGAGGUUUAUAAUAUGGCUUUGUCUUUUGUGAUGAAAGCUGAGAAGAAGAAAAAAAAGAGUGUAGCUAAAAAGAGAUGUGUGUGUUAGUUUGUAGAAAAUGAAGAUGUUUUCUAAAUUUGGUAACUUGUGAUGAUUGAUGAUGUUUCUGACAUAUCUUCUAGAUUUGAAUUUGACACAAAUCUUAUUCCCUGAA